UUUUCAUUUAAUACGAGACUUCUCGAUUGUAUUGUCUAUAUACAUUUAUUUUAUAGUUUCCCCAUAUUGUGGCUGAAUUUCCUGUUUAGUGAACUCUAUACAUAUAUAUCGCUUUCCUAGGGAGAAUAUAAACAAAAGAAAUACUAUCUUAAAGUAUAUUUUAUGAAAAUAAAUUUAUCACAGGUACCAGGUUAAUAUUCUUCUAGUAAGACGAUAUCUUAUAGAU
rnacentral:lncRNA from 1 species